GUAUGACGGGUGUUUAUUUAGAUGAAUGGAGGUGUUAAAAACGUAGUGUCGGACCUAUAGUUAACGGUUAAAAAGCUAGGGGGAGUAAUUCGUCACAAAGGGUGUGGUUUAUGUGCUUUUAAAAGGCUUUGUUUCAUUCAGUCUGGUCACUUUUUCCUCCACUCGUUUUUUUAGCUAGCUAGCUAGCUAGCUUGCUCGUGUUUUCUCCACAGCUGUUUCUCUACAAUCAACGGCGCUUUUUCAUUUUAACUCCUUUGGGGAAAAGCAAGAGGAAAGACCGUCAUACAGUCAUGUCUACAGUGGGUAAGUAAGCUUUUAAAAAGCAUAUAUCCUGUUUAAACCUAUUCUAAGAUAAGCCAGUCAUACAUUCAUGAAUUAAAAAAGUUUUUUUUUUGUUGUACGUAUUUUUAUAUAGUUUGCUUCAUUAGGUAAUUCCACAAGGAGGAGCAAUGUUGCCGUGAGAUUUGAUGAUACGCUUAUUCAGCAAGAUGUCGAGGCACCAUUGACGGAUCAAACACGCGGUUUCUUAAAUCAACCUGGGUAUCUGUUGGGAAAUAUAAAGCCUCAUCAUCCUGCGAGCAAUAAGAAAGCUGAAAACAGGCCGCCUAGCCCCCAAGAAGAAAGGGUCCGAAAGGGCGAGGGCUUUUCACUAGAUCACUGUGCGGAACUCCAUUGCAACGAGGAGCGGACAGUUACAUCAUUAAAUAGAUAUAACGAUGUAGGUAUUGUCAUCAAACCAAACCGACUAAGUAGGAAGUAUAGGAAGAGGAGUAAUCUGGUGAGUUGGAAAGAAAAUGUAAAAAUAGGGGCAUUGUAUUUUUAAAAAGGUUGUCUUCUCAUAAUGCUACGUUGUGUUUUCAGACAUCAGAGUCAAACCGGGGAGCUUUCCCGCCCAAAAGACCCCGCCCGGUCUUUGUUCAAGCUGAUCCACCCUUGAGCGUGAUA